rnacentral:rRNA from 1 species
GACGAACGCUGGCGGCGUGCCUAAUACAUGCAAGUCGAACGAACCGCGACUAAGUGCUUGCACUAAGUCAAGGUGAGUGGCGAACGGGUGAGUAACACGUGGGUAACCUACCUCAUAGUGGGGAUAACAGUCGGAAACGACUGCUAAUACCGCAUAGGACAUAGGAUCACAUGAUCUAGUGAGGAAAGGUGGCGCAAGCUAUCGCUAAGAGAUGGACCCGCGGUGCAUUAGCUAGUUGGUAGGGUAAAGGCCUACCAAGGCGAUGAUGCAUAGCCGACCUGAGAGGGUGGUCGGCCACAUUGGGACUGAGACACGGCCCAAACUCCUACGGGAGGCAGCAGUAGGGAAUCUUCCGCAAUGGACGCAAGUCUGACGGAGCAACGCCGCGUGAGUGAAGAAGGUCUUCGGAUCGUAAAGCUCUGUUGUUAGAGAAGAACAGCGCAUAGAGUAACUGCUAUGCGUGUGACGGUAUCUAACCAGAAAGCCACGGCUAACUACGUG